GGCGGCAGGCUUAACACAUGCAAGUCGAGCGGGCGUAGCAAUACGUCAGCGGCAGACGGGUGAGUAACGCGUGGGAACGUACCUUUUGGUUCGGAACAACACAGGGAAACUUGUGCUAAUACCGGAUAAGCCCUUACGGGGAAAGAUUUAUCGCCGAAAGAUCGGCCCGCGUCUGAUUAGCUAGUUGGUGAGGUAAUGGCUCACCAAGGCGACGAUCAGUAGCUGGUCUGAGAGGAUGAUCAGCCACAUUGGGACUGAGACACGGCCCAAACUCCUACGGGAGGCAGCGAAGGGGAAUAUUGGACAAUGGGGGCAACCCUGAUCCAGCCAUGCCGCGUGAGUGAUGAAGGCCCUAGGGUUGUAAAGCUCUUUUGUGCGGGAAGAUAAUGACGGUACCGCAAGAAUAAGCCCCGGCUAACUUCGUGCCACCAGCCGCGGUAAUACGAAGGGGGCUAGCGUUGCUCGGAAUCACUGGGCGUAAAGGGUGCGUAGGCGGGUCUUUAAGUCAGGGGUGAAAUCCUGGAGCUCAACUCCAGAACUGCCUUUGAUACUGAAGAUCUUGAGUCCGGGAGAGGUGAGUGGAACUGCGAGUGUAGAGGUGAAAUUCGUAGAUAUUCGCAAGAACACCCCUGGCGAAGGCGGCUCACUGGCCCGGUACUGACGCUGAGGCACGAAAGCGUGGGGAGCAAACAGGAUUAUAUUCCCUGGUAGUCCACGCCGGAAACGAUGAAUGCCAGCCGUCAGUGGGUUUACUCACUAGUGGCGCAGCUCACGCUUUAAGCAUUCCCCUCUGGGGAGUACUGUCUCAAGAUUAAAACUCAAAUGAAUUGACGGGGGCCCGCACCAGCGGUGGAGCAUGUGGUUUAAUUCUACGCAACGCGCAGAACCUUAUCAGCCCUU
rnacentral:rRNA from 1 species